CAAACAUCACGAGAACCACUCCGUCUAUUGUGAUAAAAUAACCAUGAACUACGUAACGACAGGUCAGCUGCUGGUGGAAAAUUCAAAUCUUGCGACGGAGCUCUGCCACUCGCGCGUUUAUUUUUUUUUUAAAUACAUCGCGAUUUUUUUCCAAUCGAUUUUUAUUUUGCUUUCACUUGUUUUUCGCCCGGACUUGGGCGCAAAUGUUUUUAAUGCCGGCGCAGUACACAUCGCACGGUACAGAUAAAGAUAAACGAUACGCGUGCCGUAUAGGGAUAGGUAUACAGCGUAUAGGCAGACGACGGUGUCCGGGUACGGAUACUAAGUCCGGGCGAGCGGGCGGAAUCGAUUGUGUCCCACUCCCCCGUCGUCGUAAUAACUAACGAGUAAUACGAGGGCGCGAAUACCAC